AGUGAGGAAUAUUGGUCAAUGGGCGGAAGCCUGAACCAGCCAUGUCGCGUGCAGGAUGACGGCCCUAUGGGUUGUAAACUGCUUUUUUACGGGAAUAAACCUUUCUACGUGUAGGAAGCUGAAGGUACCGUAUGAAUAAGGAUCGGCUAACUCCGUGCCAGCAGCCGCGGUAAUACGGAGGAUUCGAGCGUUAUCCGGAUUUAUUGGGUUUAAAGGGUCCGUGGGCGGGCGAUUAAGUCAGUGGUGAAAUCUCUCAGCUCAACUGAGAAACUGCCAUUGAUACUGAUUGUCUUGAAUUUGGUUGAGGUAGGCGGAAUACGAUAUGUAGCGGUGAAAUGCAUAGAUAUAUCGUAGAACACCAAUUGCGAAGGCAGCUUACUAAGCCACGAUUGACGCUGAUGGACGAAAGCGUGGGGAGCGAACAGGAUUAGAUACCCUGGUAGUCCACGCCGUAAACGAUGAUCACUCGUUGUGCGCGAUACAUAGUGCGCGACUGAGCGAAAGCAUUAAGUGAUCCACCUGGGGAGUACGUUCGCAAGAAUG
rnacentral:rRNA from 1 species